UAUAAAAUUUUAAUUUAAAACAAAAUUGAUUUUUUAAAUAAUAAAUUACCUAUAAUAUUAUUAUAUUUAUUUAAUUUAAAUAGUAAUUAAUAAUUUAUGAAUGAUAAAUUUAUUUAUAUUGACAAUACCACCUAAUGACAAAAUCCACAAUCACUUAGUCGCCAACACAAUAGAAGAGGAGACAACAUCUCGCAAAAGAUGGUCAGUGUACGCGAACAGUGCUCUGACACGCCAGCUGUGAAGAGGAUGAAGACGAAGUAUUUCAGAUUUUCGAAUCAGAAGAAAGCGACAAAACAGAGGAAUCUUCAUAUAAAAGCGAAGGAGAAGAUUCCCGAGAUUUUUGCCAUAGCAGGAAAAGGACGCGUCUGCGAUGCGAUUCCAAAUCCGAGAAUCACACGAACAUUCUCAGAUCCUGCGAGAUUUGAACGUGGUUCAUGAUAUUGAAACUGCGGUCGAUGGAACAAUUUGGAAGAAAUUGGAAACAGGCGGAUCUAAUGGUAGACCACUUUAUCAACAUUUCAAGAAUAUCGCUAGUUCUACCGGAUACGCAACAAGAAAUGUGGCGACAGAUAGCGUCAGCAGUUCCACUUGAUGAUCGACAGAAACAUGUUGCAACAUAGAAAAUGUUGCACCGAAGCAGAGACAUGUGGUGUCUUAAAAAGUGAUUGGACAAUUUCAAUGGCUAAGUUAUGGCCAGUCGCUUUCUUCUCGACCACAAUGCCAAGAGAUGAAUUGAUGUAAAUUCUUCGAUUUGAUAAAAGUUUGAUAAAAGAAGAAAACGAUCGGAAAGCUUACGUACAGACAAAAUUCAGCACACGUGUUAAAAAUGCGUGGAAUAAAUGUGAUGAUAUAUAAUGUUAGACAUUAUAAGUUCUAUGCAAAUGUAUAUCUCAUGGUCUCAUUUAUAAAUAAACAGCGUAUAAUUAUGUUUUCUUUUUUUUUAAAAAUGUAUGAUUUUGUUCAUACGUCAAAUCGACGCGUAGAGAUAGGAAUAUAUAGGAAAUGUGAGUAAACCUAGCGUUGAAGAUCUGUUUGAAGAUCUCUUAUACUUGAAAAGGCAAUCAUUGACUAUCUCAAAAUAAAAAAAAAAUAAAAAAGAGAUAACUGACUGUCUCAAGAUAUAAAACAAAAAUUUACUCGAGUCCUAUCCGACCAAUUAGGUACCCGGAUACUCACAAUCGGAAAAAUACCUGAUGCAACCUGCUUGAACAUUCUACUCGUGUCACCCAAUGUUUACAAUAUUUCAAAUAAUUUAUGUUUCUGCGUCAAUCGAGUAUCUAAAUUAAAUAUCUUCAUUUUUCUACCGAAACGCCAACAAAUAAACGUUCUCAGCAGCUAGACUGGCUGGCUUCAACAUUUCCACACAUUUCCAGCUGUUGAAAACACAUUAGCAAAAGUUGCCAAGAUGUACUUGUGUAUACAAGUCUGCAAGCUCUGAACGUGUGGUUCCAACAGCUGACAAUAUCGUCAACGUAUAACCUAACAGCAUUACAGCAUUAACAGCAGCAGUACAGAACUAAAAAUGUCUACUUUAAAAUGAUCGUUCCAUUGUCUACCAAAAACAUUGUGAACGCCCGUGACGCGAGUAGGGCACUCGAGUGAAAAAUAGCAAGCAUCCGAGUAGCGAUAGCUCUACUCUCAGCUAUCUCAUCUCUGUGGACAGGAACAGUGAUAAAGCACGUAGCUAAAUUUGAAUCAUUGCAAUCAACCGCACUGAGAACAGUUGCGAAUGCAGCGCGGUGUACCAGCAGCAAAAGUCUAAGGAAACAGCCAAUUAGGCUACCAACGAUUCAA